rnacentral:rRNA from 1 species
UACGGAGGGCGCAAGCGUUGUUCGGAAUUACUGGGCGUAAAGCGCGUGUAGGCGGCCAGGUAAGUCGGAUGUGAAAGCCCGGGGCCCAACCCCGGAACUGCACCCGAUACUGCCUGGCUGGAGUCCCGGAGAGGAUGGCGGAAUUUCCGGUAUAGAGGUGAAAUUCGUAGAUAUCGGAAGGAACACCAGCGGCGAAGGCGGCCAUCUGGACGGUGACUGACGCUGAGACGCGAAAGCGUGGGGAGCAAACAGG